rnacentral:tRNA from 1 species
AAAAACUUAGGAUCAACUAAACCAAGAGCCUUCAAAGCUCAAAAUAGGGAUGAAAACCCCCUAGUUUUU